GAGAUAGCUGGUUCUCCCCGAAAGCUAUUUAGGUAGCGCCUCGUGAAUUCAUCUCCGGGGGUAGAGCACUGUUUCGGCUAGGGGGCCAUCCCGGCUUACCAACCCGAUGCAAACUGCGAAUACCGGAGAAUGUUAUCACGGGAGACACACGGCGGGUGCUAACGUCCGUCGUGAAGAGGGAAACAACCCAGACCGCCAGCUAAGGUCCCAAAGUCAUGGUUAAGUGGGAAACGAUGUGGGAAGGCCCAGACAGCCAGGAUGUUGGCUUAGAAGCAGCCAUCAUUUAAAGAAAGCGUAAUAGCUCACUGGUCGAGUCGGCCUGCGCGGAAGAUGUAACGGGGCUAAACCAUGCACCGAAGCUGCGGCAGCGACACUGUGUGUUGUUGGGUAGGGGAGCGUUCUGUAAGCCUGUGAAGGUGGCCUGUGAGGGUUGCUGGAGGUAUCAGAAGUGCGAAUGCUGACAUAAGUAACGAUAAAGCGGGUGAAAAUCCCGCUCGCCGGAAGACCAAGGGUUCCUGUCCAACGUUAAUCGGGGCAGGGUGAGUCGACCCCUAAGGCGAGGCCGAAAGGCGUAGUCGAUGGGAAACGGGUUAAUAUUCCCGUACUUGGUGUUACUGCGAAGGGGGGACGGAGAAGGCUAUGUUGGCCGGGCGACGGUUGUCCCGGUUUAAGCGUGUAGGCUGGUUUUCCAGGCAAAUCCGGAAAAUCAAGGCUGAGGCGUGACGACGAGGCACUACGGUGCUGAAGCAACAAAUGCCCUGCUUCCAGGAAAAGCCUCUAAGCAUCAGGUAACAUCAAAUCGUACCCCAAACCGACACAGGUGGUCAGGUAGAGAAUACCAAGGCGCUUGAGAGAACUCGGGUGAAGGAACUAGGCAAAAUGGUGCCGUAACUUCGGGAGAAGGCACGCUGACAUGUAGGUGAAGUGAUUUACUCAUGGAGCUGAAGUCAGUCGAAGAUACCAGCUGGCUGCAACUGUUUAUUAAAAACACAGCACUGUGCAAACACGAAAGUGGACGUAUACGGUGUGACGCCUGCCCGGUGCCGGAAGGUUAAUUGAUGGGGUCAGCGCAAGCGAAGCUCCUGAUCGAAGCCCCGGUAAACGGCGGCCGUAACUAUAACGGUCCUAAGGUAGCGAAAUUCCUUGUCGGGUAAGUUCCGACCUGCACGAAUGGCGUAAUGAUGGCCAGGCUGUCUCCACCCGAGACUCAGUGAAAUUGAACUCGCUGUGAAGAUGCAGUGUACCCGCGGCAAGACGGAAAGACCCCGUGAACCUUUACUAUAGCUUGACACUGAACAUUGAGCCUUGAUGUGUAG
rnacentral:rRNA from 1 species